AUUGAACGCUGGCGGCAGGCCUAACACAUGCAAGUCGAACGAGUGGCGGACGGGUGAGUACUGUCUGGGAAACUGCCUGAUGGAGGGGGAUAACUACUGGAAACGGUAGCUAAUACCGCAUACCAUCGGAUGUGCCCAGAUGGGAUUAGCUUGUUGGUGGGGUAACGGCUAACCAAGGCGACGGUCCCUAGCUGGGCUGAGAGGAUGACAAGCCAAACUGGAACUGAGACACGGUCCAGACGCCUACGGGAGGCAGCAGUGGGGAAUAGUGCACAAUGGGCGCAAGCCUGAUGCAGCAAUGCCGCGGGUAUGAAGAAGGCCGUCGGGUGGUAAAGUACUUUCAGCGAGGAGGCGUUACUCGCAGAAGAAGCACCGGCUAACUCCGUGCCAGCAGCCGCGGUAAUAC
rnacentral:rRNA from 1 species